rnacentral:rRNA from 1 species
AUUGAACGCUGGCGGCAGGCCUAACACAUGCACGUCGAACGAGUGGCGGACGGGUGAGUAAUGUCUGGGAAACUGCCUGAUGGAGGGGGAUAACUACUGGAAACGGUAGCUAAUACCGCAUACCAUGGGAUGUGCCACGCUGGGAUUAGCUAGUAGGUGGGGUAACGGCUCACCUAGGCGACGAUCCCUAGCUGGUCUGAGAGGAUGAACAGCCCCACUGGAACUGAGACACGGUCCAGACGCCUACGGUAGGCAGCAGUGGGGAAUAUUGCACAAUGGGCGCAAGCCUUAUGCAGCCAUGCCGCGUGUAUGAAGAAGGCCUUCGGGUUGUAAAGUACUUUCAGCGGGGAGGCGUUACCCGCAGAAGAAGCACCGGCUAACUCCGUGCCAGCCGCCGCGGUAAUAC